rnacentral:rRNA from 1 species
ACACUAUCAUUAACUGAAUCCAUAGGUUAAUGAGGCGAACCGGGGGAACUGAAACAUCUAAGUACCCCGAGGAAAAGAAAUCAACCGAGAUUCCCCCAGUAGCGGCGAGCGAACGGGGAGCAGCCCAGAGCCUGAAUCAGUGUGUGUGUUAGUGGAAGCGUCUGGAAAGGCGCGCGAUACAGGGUGACAGCCCCGUACACAAAAAUGCACAUGCUGUGAGCUCGAUGAGUAGGGCGGGACACGUGGUAUCCUGUCUGAAUAUGGGGGGACCAUCCUCCAAGGCUAAAUACUCCUGACUGACCGAUAGUGAACCAGUACCGUGAGGGAAAGGCGAAAAGAACCCCGGCGAGGGGAGUGAAAAAGAACCUGAAACCGUGUACGUACAAGCAGUGGGAGCACGCUUAGGCGUGUGACUGCGUACCUUUUGUAUAAUGGGUCAGCGACUUAUAUUCUGUAGCAAGGUUAACCGAAUAGGGGAGCCGAAGGGAAACCGAGUCUUAACUGGGCGUUAAGUUGCAGGGUAUAGACCCGAAACCCGGUGAUCUAGCCAUGGGCAGGUUGAAGGUUGGGUAACACUAACUGGAGGACCGAACCGACUAAUGUUGAAAAAUUAGCGGAUGACUUGUGGCUGGGGGUGAAAGGCCAAUCAAACCGGGAGAUAGCUGGUUCUCCCCGAAAGCUAUUUAGGUAGCGCCUCGUGAAUUCAUCUCCGGGGGUAGAGCACUGUUUCGGCAAGGGGGUCAUCCCGACUUACCAACCCGAUGCAAACUGCGAAUACCGGAGAAUGUUAUCACGGGAGACACACGGCGGGUGCUAACGUCCGUCGUGAAGAGGGAAACAACCCAGACCGCCAGCUAAGGUCCCAAAGUCAUGGUUAAGUGGGAAACGAUGUGGGAAGGCCCAGACAGCCAGGAUGUUGGCUUAGAAGCAGCCAUCAUUUAAAGAAAGCGUAAUAGCUCACUGGUCGAGUCGGCCUGCGCGGAAGAUGUAACGGGGCUAAACCAUGCACCGAAGCUGCGGCAGCGACGCUGAUGCGUUGUUGGGUAGGGGAGCGUUCUGUAAGCCUGUGAAGGUGUACUGUGAGGUAUGCUGGAGGUAUCAGAAGUGCGAAUGCUGACAUAAGUAACGAUAAAGCGGGUGAAAAGCCCGCUCGCCGGAAGACCAAGGGUUCCUGUCCAACGUUAAUCGGGGCAGGGUGAGUCGACCCCUAAGGCGAGGCCGAAAGGCGUAGUCGAUGGGAAACAGGUUAAUAUUCCUGUACUUGGUGUUACUGCGAAGGGGGGACGGAGAAGGCUAUGUUGGCCGGGCGACGGUUGUCCCGGUUUAAGCGUGUAGGCUGGUUUUCCAGGCAAAUCCGGAAAAUCAAGGCUGAGGCGUGAUGACGAGGCACUACGGUGCUGAAGCAACAAAUGCCCUGCUUCCAGGAAAAGCCUCUAAGCAUCAGGUAACAUCAAAUCGUACCCCAAACCGACACAGGUGGUCAGGUAGAGAAUACCAAGGCGCUUGAGAGAACUCGGGUGAAGGAACUAGGCAAAAUGGUGCCGUAACUUCGGGAGAAGGCACGCUGAUAUGUAGGUGAAGUCCCUCGCGGAUGGAGCUGAAAUCAGUCGAAGAUACCAGCUGGCUGCAACUGUUUAUUAAAAACACAGCACUGUGCAAACACGAAAGUGGACGUAUACGGUGUGACGCCUGCCCGGUGCCGGAAGGUUAAUUGAUGGGGUUAGCGCAAGCGAAGCUCUUGAUCGAAGCCCCGGUAAACGGCGGCCGUAACUAUAACGGUCCUAAGGUAGCGAAAUUCCUUGUCGGGUAAGUUCCGACCUGCACGAAUGGCGUAAUGAUGGCCAGGCUGUCUCCACCCGAGACUCAGUGAAAUUGAACUCGCUGUGAAGAUGCAGUGUACCCGCGGCAAGACGGAAAGACCCCGUGAACCUUUACUAUAGCUUGACACUGAACAUUGAGCCUUGAUGUGUAGGAUAGGUGGGAGGCUUGGAAGUGUGGACGCCAGUCUGCAUGGAGCCGACCUUGAAAUACCACCCUUUAAUGUUUGAUGUUCUAACGUUGACCCGUGAUCCGGGUUGCGGACAGUGUCUGGUGGGUAGUUUGACUGGGGCGGUCUCCUCCUAAAGAGUAACGGAGGAGCACGAAGGUUGGCUAAUCCUGGUCGGACAUCAGGAGGUUAGUGCAAUGGCAUAAGCCAGCUUGACUGCGAGCGUGACGGCGCGAGCAGGUGCGAAAGCAGGUCAUAGUGAUCCGGUGGUUCUGAAUGGAAGGGCCAUCGCUCAACGGAUAAAAGGUACUCCGGGGAUAACAGGCUGAUACCGCCCAAGAGUUCAUAUCGACGGCGGUGUUUGGCACCUCGAUGUCGGCUCAUCACAUCCUGGGGCUGAAGUAGGUCCCAAGGGUAUGGCUGUUCGCCAUUUAAAGUGGUACGCGAGCUGGGUUUAGAACGUCGUGAGACAGUUCGGUCCCUAUCUGCCGUGGGCGCUGGAGAACUGAGGGGGGCUGCUCCUAGUACGAGAGGACCGGAGUGGACGCAUCACUGGUGUUCGGGUUGUCAUGCCAAUGGCACUGCCCGGUAGCUAAAUGCGGAAGAGAUAAGUGCUGAAAGCAUCUAAGCACGAAACUUGCCCCGAGAUGAGUUCUCCCUGACNNNNNNNNNNGUCCUGAAGGAACGUUGAAGACGACGACGUUGAUAGGCCGGGUGUGUAAGCGCAGCGAUGCGUUGAGCUAACCGGUACUAAUGAACCGUGAGGCUUAACCUU